rnacentral:rRNA from 1 species
UACGUAGGGGGCAAGCGUUGUCCGGAUUUAUUGGGCGUAAAGAGCUCGUAGGUGGUUCGGUAAGUCGGAUGUGAAAUCUCCAGGCUCAACCUGGAGGGGUCAUUCGAUACUGCCGGACUAGAGUUCGGAAGAGGCGAGUGGAAUUCCCGGUGUAGCGGUGAAAUGCGCAGAUAUCGGGAGGAACACCAAUGGCGAAGGCAGCUCGCUGGGACGUUACUGACGCUGAGACGCGAAAGCGUGGGGAGCAAACAGG